rnacentral:misc_RNA from 1 species
UCUCCGUUGGUGAACCAGCGGAGGGAUCAUUACUGAGUGAGGGCUCCGGCCCGACCUCCAACCCCAUGUGAACCGAAACCUGUUGCUUCGGGGGCGACCCUGCCGUCCGGCGCGGCGCCCCCGGAGGCUCAUCAAACCCUGCGUAAUCAAGUCGUCGGAGUUUAAAACAAAUAAAUCAAAACUUUCAACAACGGAUCUCUUGGUUCGGGCAUCGAUGAAGAACGCAGC